GAUGAACGCUGGCGGCGUGCCUAACACAUGCAAGUCGAGCGAUCUUCUUCGGAAGAGAGCGGCGGACGGGUGAGUAACGCGUGGGUAACCUGCCCUGUACACACGGAUAACAUACCGAAAGGUAUGCUAAUACGAGAUAAUAUGUUUUUGUCGCAUGGUAGAAGUAUCAAAGCUUUUGCGGUACAGGAUGGACCCGCGUCUGAUUAGCUAGUUGGUAAGGUAACGGCUUACCAAGGCGACGAUCAGUAGCCGACCUGAGAGGGUGAUCGGCCACAUUGGAACUGAGACACGGUCCAAACUCCUACGGGAGGCAGCAGUGGGGAAUAUUGCACAAUGGGCGAAAGCCUGAUGCAGCAACGCCGCGUGAGCGAUG
rnacentral:rRNA from 1 species